CCUACGGGGGGCUGCAGUGGGGAAUUUUGGACAAUGGGCGAAAGCCUGAUCCAGCCAUGCCGCGUGCGGGAAGAAGGCCUUCGGGUUGUAAACCGCUUUUGUCAGGGAAGAAAAGCGCCAGGCUAAUACCUUGGCGUCAUGACGGUACCUGAAGAAUAAGCACCGGCUAACUACGUGCCAGCAGCCGCGGUAAUACGUAGGGUGCAAGCGUUAAUCGGAAUUACUGGGCGUAAUGGGUCCGCACGCAGGCGAAAUCCCCGGGCUCAACCUGGGAACUGCAUUUGUGACUGCACGGCUUGAGUGCGGCAGAGGGGAAUGGAAUUCCGCAUGUAGCAGUGAAAUGCGUAGGUAUGCGGAGGAACACCGAUGGCGAAGGCAAUUCCCUGGGCCUGCACUGACGCUCAUGCACGAAAGCGUGGGGAGCAAACAGGAGUAGAUACCCCUGUAGUC
rnacentral:rRNA from 1 species